AGCGAACGCUGGCGGCAGGCCUAACACAUGCAAGUCGAACGAACCUUUCGGGGUUAGUGGCGGACGGGUGUGUAACACGGCGGAACGUGCCUGUAGGCUCGGAAUAACUCAGGGAAACUGGUGCUAAUACCGGAUGUGCUCUUCGGGGGCACGAUUUAUCGGCCGUGGAACGGCCGGCGUUUGUUUGGCCAGGUGGGUGAGGUAAUGGCUCACCAAGGCGACGAUCAGUAGCUGGUCUGCGAGGAUGAUCAGCCACAUCGGGACUGAGACACGGCCCAGACUCCUACGGGAGGCAGCAGUGGGGUAUCUUGCGCAAUCGGCGAAAGCCUGACGCAGCCAUGCCGCGUGAAUGAUGAAGGUCGUAGGAUAGUAAAAUUCUUUCACCGGGGACGAUAAUGACGGUACCCGGAGAAGAAGCCCCGGCUAACUUCGUG
rnacentral:rRNA from 1 species